UUCAUUCACCACACAAAUUGUGUCUGACGCGCAGAAAAACAACAGUCCGAGAGCUCCCCCCAGUGGUGGAUUCCUGCUGCUGCGAUCACAGGCCUUGCAGUCACUGCAGUCGCAGCAAUCAUAGGAAUUAUAAAAUGUAAAGCUGGCUGUACAAAAUCAAGUAAAACCCAUGCAGAGGCUACAGAGAUGCAACCAAUCAGAGUGACUGUUGCAAACAGCAGAGCUGCAUCUGAGGACACUUGCUUAACAGAAGAGAUCGCCAACAGACCAACAUGAGAAUAGAUGGGGGGAAAGUUUGUUUAAAACAGUUUGUUUCAAAGUGAUUGAUUUACUGCCAAGAUAAAAGGAGAGACAAGUAUUUAUUCAUCAUUAUUAUUAUUAUUAUUAUUAUUAUUUCUAUAGGAAAUAUGUGUCAGUACUUAC
rnacentral:lncRNA from 1 species